rnacentral:rRNA from 1 species
AUUAAAGUAACAAAGGGCACACAAGGGAUGCCUAGGUAGAAAGAGCCGAAGAAGGACGUGGUAAGCUGCGAUAAGCUUGGCGAAGUUGCAAACGAACGUGGAUGCCAAGAUUUCCGAAUGGAGCAAUCUGUAAAGAGUCAUGUCUUUACACGAAAGAGGGAACCGGGUGAACUGAAACAUCUAAGUAAUCCGAGGAAAAGAAAGUAACAACGAUACCCUAAGUAGCGGCGAGCGAACGGGGUAGAGCCUAAACCGUAUUCAUGUCAAGGAUGCAGCCGUUGUGGAUACGGGGUAGCGGGAAAGAGAGAGAAAGAACUGCAAGCUAUUUCGCAGACGUAAGCAAAGGAACAAGAAAGAUCUGGAAAGGUCUACCGUAGAAGGUGAAAGUCCUGUAUUGGUAGUUUUCUUGCGCUGUAUCUCUUCUCCCAAGUAAUGUGGAACACGAGGAAUUCUGCAUGAAUCUGCGAGGACCAAAUCUCGUAAGGCUAAAUACUCUUUCUAACCGAUAGCGCAUAGUACCGUGAGGGAAAGGUGAAAAGAACCCCGGGAGGGGAGUGAAAGAGAACCUGAAAUUGUGUGCUUACAAGCGGUCAGAGCCACUUCGGUGGUGAUGGCGUGCCUUUUGGAGAAUGAUCCUGCGAGUUACGUUUCAUGGCGAGGUUAAGAAGAACGGAGCCGAAGGGAAACCGAGUCUGAAUAGGGCGCAAGAGUCGUGGAGCGUAGACGCGAAACCCGGUGAUCUAAGCCUGUCCAGGAUGAAGCUGUGGUAAGACACAGUGGAGGUCCUAACCCACCGCCGUUGAAAAGUUGGGGGAUGAGGUAGGUUUAGGGGUGAAAAGCCAAUCGAACCGGGA